rnacentral:rRNA from 1 species
AAUAGAUACCCGGGUAGUCCGCGCCGUAAACGAUGAGUGCUAAGUGUUAGAGGGGUUUCCGCCCUUUAGUGGCUGCAGCUAACGCAUUAAGCACUCCGCCUGGGGGAGUACGGCCGCAAGGCUGAAAACUCAAAGGAAGUUGACGGGGGGCCCCGCACAAGCGGUGGAGCAUGUGGUUUUAAUUCGAAGCAACGCGAAGAACCUUACCAGGUCUUGACAUCUCCUGACAAUCCUAGAGAUAGGACGUUCCCCCUUUUAGGGGGACAGGAUGACAGGUGGUGCAUGGUUGUCGUCAGCUCGUGUCGUGAGAUGUUGGGUUAAGUCCCGCAACGAGCGCAACCCUUGAUCUUAGUUGCCAGCAUUUUAGUUGGGGCACUCUAAGGGUGACUGCCGGUGACAAACCGGAGGAAGGUGGGGAGUGACGGUCAAAUCAUCAUGCCCCUUAUGACCGUGGGCUACACCACGUGCUACAAUGGAUGGUACAAAGGGGCUGCAAGACUGCGAAGUCAAGCCAAUCCCAAUAAAACCCAAUUCUCAGUUCGGAUUGC